rnacentral:misc_RNA from 1 species
AACGCACAUUGCGCCCAUUAGUAUUCUAUUGGGCAUGCCUGUUCGAGCGUCAUUUCAACCCUCAAGCACUGCUUGGUGUUGGGGCUCUACGCCUUGUAGGCCCUCAAAUAUAGUGGCGGACUCGCUACGGCUCCGAGUGCAGUAAUCUCUCUCGCUCUGGACGCCUGGUGGGUGCUUGCCGUGAAACCCCCCAUUUUAUCGUGGUUGACCUCGGAUCAGGUAGGAAUACCCGCUGAACUUAA